UGUUUUGAAUGGCCUUUGAAUGUGUGUUGUUCAUUCCGUUCUGAUGAAAAUUUUUGGUUCAUGAAAUUGUUUUCUAAAUGUUAGUAGGUUUUACACCUGCUUCCAAGCACAUUGAAAAGAGAUUGUAGAGAAGGAGCCUCCAGUAAAAGAGACUCUCCAAAGAUGGCCAUUAAUUUUCACAGAAAGAGAGAUCAAUUAAGAGUUUAAUCAAAUUACAGCAAAAACCUCAAGCAAGAAUUUUUCUCUGCACUCGAUCAACAUGCUUCACGAUUUCUGGACAUUUUUGAGAGCAAGAAAGGGGCUGUUGGAAAAAGACUGAAUUUCUUCAGCGAAUCAAACCUGUGAGCACUGAUAUCACUGCAAAGCGCACGGAAGUUCUACGUGGCCUUCCACUCAUUCUUGGAGAAGAAGCCUCUGACUUUUUUACAACAGCACUGGACUGUGAAUGUGACAUACCCCAGAUUUCCAUUGGGAUACUGACUGUGACACCAGAAGAUAGCCAGGAUUCCCCACAAGCACUGCAUUUGGAGGCUUCAAACACCGCAAUCAUCUUGGAAGGAGUCAUCGUGAUGGAUGAUCUUGAAAAUCUUCCAGAUGCCAUGUGACUACUUUUUGUGUUUAGUGUUUCUUUUACUUGGACACAAAUUUCUGAAACCAAAACUACAGUCACUUAAAGACCUGCUGCUGAUGUAAAUUGAGGCUGUUUGAGAUUGUUUUAAAGGGAUAGUUGAAUCCCUUUAAUCUUCUGGUUGCACAAAAGUUUGUUUAAUUACACUUUUCGACUGUUACCUGUCAAACUUUGUUGAAAACAUUUUUAAACGUUAAAGAAUGUUUAAAAAAUGUUCUUAAAAGUUUUAAAGCAGUGUUAUUAUUUUUUAAUUGUAAGCACUGUUAAGACUUAAGCUAGUGUUGAUUAUUUUAAAAGGUCACCUGUUCAGUUUCAGGUCAAAGAUUGUCAAGCAGUCAGGAUCCUUUUUUUUAGCUGCACUUGCACUGCACUUUUAAGUUGC